rnacentral:rRNA from 1 species
AUUGAACGCUAGCGGGAUUCCUUACACAUGCAAUUCGAACGGAGUGGCGAACGGGUGAGUAAUGUAUCGGAACGUGCCCAGUAGCGGGGGAUAACUACGCGAAAGCGUAGCUCAUACCGCAUACUAUUGGAGCGGCCGAUAGAGGAUUAGCGAGUUGGUGGGGUACCGGCGCACCAAGGCGACGAUCCGUAGCUGGUUUGAGAGGACGACCAGCCACAAUGGGACGUAGACAGGGCCCAGACUCUGACGGGAGGCAGCAGUGGGGAAUUUUGGACAAUGGGGGAAACCCUGAUCCAGCCAUCCCGCGUGUGCGAUGAAGGCCUUCGGGUUGUAAAGCACUUUUGGCAGGAAAGCGGUACCUGCAGAAGAAGCACCGGCUAACUACGUGCCAGCAGCCGCGGUAAUUC